rnacentral:rRNA from 1 species
UGCAGAAUCCCGUGAACCAUCGAGUCUUUGAACGCAAGUUGCGCCCUAAGCCUUUUGGCCGAGGGCACGUCUGCCUGGGUGUCACAAAUCGUCGUCCAUCAAUCCUAUAAGGAUUUUGGACGGAAGCUGGUCUCCCGUGUGUUACCGCACGCGGUUGGCCAAAAUCCGAGCCUAGGACGCCCAGAGCGUCUCGACAUGCGGUGGUGAAAUAAGCCUCUUCAUAACGUCGUGCGCUCUUGUCCAAAAGCUCCCGAUGACCCAAUGUCUUCUAUGCGACCCCAGGUCAGGCGGGAUCACCCGCUGAGUUUAAGCAUAUCAAUAAGCGGAGGAAAAGAAACUAACAAGGAUUCCCUUAGUAACGGCGAGCGAACCGGGAAGAGCCCAGCUUGAAAAUCGGACGUCUUCGGCGUUCGA